CUCCCUUUAAAUACGUAUCAUGAGCCUGUAUAUAGAUGCAUACAGGGUGGUCCCUCUCCUGAGUCCUGACUGCCUAAAUUUGGCCUAUGAUUUGGCAUAGUCCCAGGCUUUUUGUAUAGGUACCUACGUAUAUGAGGCUCUAACUAAAGCAAAGGGAAGCUCGCUUUAAAGUAAAUUGCAGUGCGGCGACCAUAACGCCAAUUGGUACCUUCUUACCUACAUUUAUUUGGAAUCCGAAUCAAACAAAAUCUCAAUGAUGUCGGUCUGUCUGUAUACUCUCAUUUCCGGCUAAAUCGAUUGGAAUCAAACUUGGACAUAAAAGGGCAGAAUCGCGCAUGCGCAGAUUUGCGGGUGAUGUCUGUGCUAGCCACAGCAAAUUUUUCCAAUUAUUAACGAGCGGCCGAGUUCGUUUAUGAUUUUGAACUUUCUGUCCGUCCGUCCGCCCAUCUGUGUACAUGAUAACUUGGUACGCCAAGUUUUAUCCAAGACUGCUCUACCGAGCCAACCCACUCCCGAACCCGGAUUCGAACCAGGGACCCCUUAGCACCACAGUCCAGCGUUAACUGAACUGCGCCACACGGGCCGGCCUAAUAAUAACAGAUUGUGACAUAAAAUUCAGUGGUUAAUAGUCGGUACAAGAAAGAAUAAAAUGAUUACUUCCUGUAAACACACUUUCAAAACAACAAUCAAAAUAAACGCUA